UGUGAGGGUUCAACAGUAAGCGAAAUUGGUAAAACCCAAAACGUCAGGUCGAGGUGUAGCGCACGAGAGGGGAAGAAAUGGGCUACAUUUGCUGGACCAGCAAAAACGGAUGAUGGACUGAAACUACAUCUAAAGGAGGAUUUAGCAGUAAGGGAAGAAUAGAGUGCUUCCCUGAAAACGGCCCUGAAGCGCGCACAAACCGCCCGUCACCCUCCCCGACAUAAACCAAAGUCAUAAAUAAUAUGAGCAUAUAACAAAGAGGAGGCAAGUCGUAACAUGGUAAGUGUACCGGAAGGUGUACUUGGAUCAACC
rnacentral:rRNA from 1 species